UGCAAGUGUUAUGGUUACCCUCUACAGGUACCCAUGAGAAAAAGAGGGUUUCUUCUUGGUGGGUUCCAGCUUGUGCCAGUAGGAUGCUUACUGCCUUGCAAACCUGCUCCUGUCCAGAGUUGCUGAGGCAGGGCCUCCUUCCUGCAGGCACCAAAGGUGCUGGUCCCCUGUCCCAGGAUUCCAGAAACUGGUGGAAUUUUUUCCCGCCCCAUGGAGGGAUGUCUUGACUUUCAUUUUGACUACACUUUUGAGAAUUUUUUUUUCUAUUACUGACGAAAGCUUCUCCAGAAAACCUUGAAAGGGCUUAAGAAUGUGUCCCCAGCUGAUCCCUGCAAGGUCAAUGUAGAACUGGCCCUGGCCCUGGAUGGAGUCGCUCGGGGAAGGGCAGUGUUUCUCCAUCUCGUCCCAGGUCACUGCUGAUGUGAAGAUGAGGAACUUGGGCGCAUCCACGUGAACAAUCUCUCUUUGGCCUUAAAGGGCUGCGUCGCCCUGAAAGAGCCACAGCUCAGUGAGGCUGCUCUUAAGAUCACAAGUUCAAACGGAACAUAGAGAACUCCGUUCUGUAGUUGCCGCAUGAUGUUUAGUGGCUACCUGGAUGGCUGAGAAGACACUGUAAUUGAACUCCAAGGGCUCUCACGUUUAUGGAUGUAAAGACGCACCACGCAGAUGAUGAUACAUACAGAGAUGAGAAAGAUUUAAUACCCUCAGCAAGUUAGGAAUCAAUUAAGCCACUGUCCCCCUCUGAGGAGAGCGUGGGGACUUUACUCAGGGAGCUUAAAUAUAGUCCUGGAUGAGUAGCCAUUCAUAAGCAUGCUUGGCAAAGGAGGGCAGCACCUUCGUGGCCAUGCACAGUUUAAGGUAAUGGAGCACACGCUUCGAUUUAAGUGAUGUUGAGAGUCUCCCACAAAGGUGCCCACCUUGCUUCUCGGCGGCCAACAGCACCACUGUUGGUACUUGGUGUUAUGCAGCUGCCUGUAGGAGUCACAGGGAGUCAAAACCAAUGGGAUAAAGACAGUCCUGAAAACUCCUUGUGUGUGAUGGCUGCGGUUACCCUGAACAAAUCUCAUCCCCCAAGAAGAGGCCCUGACGUCAGAGAUGGUGCCCAGCUCAUAGCUCCAAGGUUCCCUCCCGAUAGAGCCUGCGUCUUCAGAGAUGCAUCAGUGACGCUGCUGAUGCACGAGAGUGCAUGGCUGUUUCCAUGUACUGCUUCGCUGUUUUCUGCAAGGAUCUGCCUCCCCACUUGCAGAGCACAGAGGUGUCCAGGUGGCACUAACUGCCUCCACCCCUCCUCCAGGCUUUUUUCUGCUGUUGCAGGAUGCCCAGGCCCUGUGCUUGUUGGCAUUUGUUCUGUCAGGCUUCAAGCUUUUUCUCUUGGAAGCCUUUUAAGAGCCAAACCCUCACCAUUUACUGAAUAAAACUUUCCCAGGGUUAAAACACUCUUUGUGCUAAGGGAUAAAGACAACUUAAAGGGUUCGGGUCCUCUGUGGGGCCACCGGGUUACACUAAACUGCUGCUGCAUGCACACAGCUCAUAGUGACCCUUCUCACAGUGUCCUCCCAUGUUGUCUUCCCCCAUAGCCUAAUGAGGAAUGGCUACAGCUUCACCCACAGAGCACAUAAAUCUCUCUUGUACCUUUGGAAGUGCAAAUGAGAGGUUCAUUAAUUAGGUAGACCUGUGCCGAUAGGUGUGCUGUGCAGGUCACCUCGGGAUUAGACAGGUUAGAGAUUGCAUCACAGACAGAAACCUCCAAACAUUGGGGGCAAAAUUACUCUUCUGUAGUCACAAACUGAAAACCUCUGAAUAUGUACAUUUUUAGAUGGGUGACUGGCAUACUUGUCUCCUUGGAGAAAGGCAUGAUGUGGCCUAUUCCUCCAAAUAGCCAGGGGAGGAGACUUCAAGUAGUAGAAAUGCAGAGAUGUUUGGACUGCUAAGCUGCCUGUAACCAUGCAAAGAGGCCCAGGUUUUCAGCUUUCAUGGACUGUCACCCAAGUUUGGGUGGGCCUUCUGGUGGUAAACAUGCCUUUUUUUCCCCUUAAAGUCAUUGCUGUACCUUGUAUGUAACCCCACGUCAAUAUUCCUGGCAGUGACCCCAAUAAAACUUCAUUGCCUCACCA
ensembl:lncRNA